rnacentral:rRNA from 1 species
GGGGAAUAUUGCACAAUGGGCGCAAGCCUGAUGCAGCCAUGCCGCGUGUAUGAAGAAGGCCUUCGGGUUGUAAAGUACUUUCAGCGGGGAGGAAGGUGUUGUGGUUAAUAACCACAGCAAUUGACGUUACCUGCAGAAGAAGCACCGGCUAAGUUCGUGCCAGCAGCCGCGGUAAUACGGAGGGUGCAAGCGUUAAUCGGAAUUACUGGGCGUAAAGCGCACGCAGGCGGUCUGUCAAGUCGGAUGUGAAAUCCCCGGGCUCAACCUGGGAACUGCAUUCGAAACUGGCAGGCUAGAGUCUUGUAGAGGGGGGUAGAAUUCCAGGUGUAGCGGUGAAAUGCGUAGAGAUCUGGAGGAACACCAGUGGCGAAGGCGACCACCUGGACUGAUACUGACACUGAGGUGCGAAAGCGUGGGGAGCAAACA